rnacentral:rRNA from 1 species
GACGAACGCUGGCGGCGUGCUUAACACAUGCAAGUCGAACGGAAAGGCCCCCACUUUUUUGGUGGGGGUGCUCGAGUGGCGAACGGGUGAGUAACACGUGGGCGAUCUGCCCUGUACUUCGGGAUAAGCUUGGGAAACUGGGUCUAUUACCGGAUAGGACCAUGGUUUGGUGUCUCAUGGUGGAAAAAUUUUUGUUUUGGUUCAGGCUGAGCUCGCGGCCUAUUAGCUGGUUGGGUGGGUAAUGGCCUAGCAAGGCGUCGGCGGGUAGCCGGCCUGGGAGGGUGGACGGCCACGUAGGGACUGAGCGACGGCCCAGACUCGUACGGGAGGCAGCGGUGGGGAAGAUUGCAGAAUGGGAGCAAGCCUGAUGCAGCGCGGCCGCGUGGGGGAGGUCUGCCUUCGGGUUGUAAACUCCUUUCGUUAGGGACGAAGCCGCGCCUUUUUUGGGUGUGGUGACGGUACCUUUGUUAAGAAGCACCGGCUAACUACGUG